rnacentral:misc_RNA from 1 species
GAAGGGCAUAGUCCUGACAAGAUUCCUCUUGCAUAUUAAUCCAUUGACAAGGAUAUAUAAUUAUGUUAUUUUCAUACAAUUUGUUACAUUUUCUCUUAUGCCAGGAGAUAGAGACUACAAAUGCACAAGGUGAUGUGGAGAAAAGGGUUGAAGGUGAAACAAUAGAUUACCGGUCAUCGGCAGGGCCAGGCCAAGGAACGUGAUUCACCAGUCCCAUCCCAAGGAAAAUUUGAACACAAGUGACAUGUUUUGUCUAAAGCUGCAGCUUCUGUGGAAUCCACCAUGGAGUCUGCCAAGGAUGCCAUUUCCGGAAAAUGACAGCUGCAGAAUCUGUUUGUAGCUCUCUUUAUUAUCACUUCUUAACUGAACAUUAUUGGUGUCUUGAUCAAUCCUCCAUAUCAAAUUUUGUUCUGUAACUGUUACUUACUUGCCAUAUAUAUGUAAAGCCAUUUGUUGGGUCAUGAAUGGUUUUUCACCAUCAUUCUGAUGCAUAAGUUCCUCUUUGCCUUCUAUGACUAUUCGGCCAUCUGAAUUAAGCAUCUUAUCUCAUCUUACUUCAGCUCUAUGCCUUUUCACAAUGUAAGAAGACUCUGCAUCAGGACUCCAGAUAACAACGAGC